rnacentral:rRNA from 1 species
AACGAGAACUUCGGGUCUAGUGGCGCACGGGUGCGUAACGCGUGGGAAUCUGCCCUUCGGUUCGGAAUAACUCAGGGAAACUUGAGCUAAUACCGGAUGAUGACUUCGGUCCAAAGAUUUAUCGCCGAGGGAUGAGCCCGCGUAGGAUUAGCUUGUUGGUGAGGUAAAGGCUCACCAAGGCGACGAUCCUUAGCUGGUCUGAGAGGAUGAUCAGCCCACUGGGACUGAGACACGGCCCAGAUCCUACGGGAGGACAGUGGGGAUAUGAAAAUGGGCGAAGCUGAUCAACAUGCCGCUGAGUGUAAGGCUAGGGU